CGCCCAACGGAACAAACAACAGAGUCGUCCGAAACCUUCCCCAAAGUUUUCGAAUUCCAAUUAACGGUCGGCGGUGUCGUCCUGGCGGUGCGGUCGCGGCGAGAUGGAGACCUACACCUCCUCCUCCUCCUCCGGAGGCGGCGGUGCCGGCGCCGGCGCCGAGCAGCGGGGUUUAGGGCUUGUGGAAGUGCAAGCAGCGGCGGCGGCGCUGCGGCGAUCUGAGGUGUUCCACGUCGUGAAGGAGCUCGUCGGCUUCGUCCUCUACAUGCACCACCAGAUCCCCUCGGUUUUGCAGAGUCUUGAAAAUGAAUUUGCGAGUUUAAAGGAGGAAAUGACAGAAAUGACAUUACAACCAGCAGAACUCAAACCAUCUGAUCAGAGAAAGUACAAUACACGAAAAAGGGAGGUUAGACGUAGAAUAAAGAAGCACGAGAAAUUGAUGAAUGGCAUCUCUACCUUACUGUGUGCUCUUCAGCAAGCACUUGAUGAAGUUUCUAGCAUUGAAGGAGUUGUUCUUAUCCUUGGAGGAAGCCUUGUACGACCCUUAUUUGUGUAUGACAUUACAAUUUCUCAUGGUAUGUUUGAUUCAGGAAGUGCCAAAGAUCAAGCUCUAACCAAGUUAGCUCAAUCUGUUUCUCGGAAGGCUAUCCGUGCUCUUGUAUCAUGUGGAGCAGGAAGUUUGUCCUACACAGGGCCUAGCAAGUUGUUUUUGCUGGUAAGAUGUCCCAGUACGUUGAACUUACCACUGGAUUUCCUGCCAAAGCGUGAGUUUCGUUACAGCAAGAAGGUUAUACCUCUUCAAAUGCAUAUAAAGUGCAGUAGAGCAGGCUGUCAAUGGAAUAACCAGCAUCAUAUUUCAAUUGCUAAUGCUUCAUGUUCCACUUCAGAAUCUUCUCCUUCAGAUGCUAUCUGGUUCCAGUGCAAGCAUACAAUAAGAGGUUUGCCAGGCAAGGCAUCACUAGAAGGGUGAUCUGGCUUCAAGAUAUCAAAGUUCAAUAUGUCUUUUAGUGGGCCUUUUGAUUAGAAUUCUGCACCACUACAAGAGCAUGAUUUCCUUGCAGCCCCUUCGAAUCUUAAGUUGCAGCAAGUUCCUGAUGCAGCUUUGCCUCCGAUGCGUGCUGCAGCCUCAUCUUUACAUGAUGCUUCGGGAGAAGAUCCUACAAAAAAAAUCAAAUAAGGGUGCAAAAGUUAAGCUAUGUUUGUUAUCAUUUGAGUAAUCCAUAAUCAUGAUAGGUCUGCCAUAUGUAUGUCUAUUGAUCCGGUGCUCUAGUACUCAGUUGACCUAUCAAAAUUUUUAUUAGGGAAAGAAGAUACCGUGGCAUCUGCAAGUUUUGAUGACAGCCCAAGGAACCUACUAAAAAGGUCAUUUUCUUUUAGAGCAGAGGAUGUUCACAUUGUUCUAGGUGAUGAUCACAAGAAGAAGGCCAAUACUAGGAGUAACAUCUUGUCAUUUCUCAAGAAAAUUAGCACAAAGCAAGAGGGUUAGAUUUCAAGACGAAGAUAAAGCAAACAAGCAAGGUGAUGACAUAGAGGACAGGUCAGCGCAAGGCAAUCAAGGAUCUGCUCCCAGAGCAUCAUGUAAAGAUGAGGCUGGUGAUAAACAAAGUAAGAAAGAUGAUCACAACGAUGGCGGUUCAAAUGAUGCGGCCAACAACCAAAAGAAGAUCAACAAAGCUGAACCAACCAGCAAACAAUCAGCAUCAUCACAUAAAGAUCAGACUGGUGAUAAAUCUGAAGGUACAUCACCUUGCACGCUACAAAAGGAUGAUGAUAAAGGUGCAAAGAAUGAUGAUAAAGCAUCCAAGGAUGAUGACAAAGCAUCAAAGGAUGAUGGCAACAACAGAGAUGAUGGAAAGCAAGAUUUUGCUGAAGCAUUAUCACCUAAAGAUGAGGCCGGUGACAAAUCUCAAGCCACACCGACCAGCACACAAUUCGGGACACAAUCCUGCUUUGAGUUUGGUGGACUGUCACCGAUAACACCGGCAAAUAAUAAGUACGGACUCUCGGGAGGUAUGACACUCUUGGAUUUAAUGGCCACACCGCCCAAACGGAAAGGAUUGUUGUUCGAAGUGCUUGAAGUUCCUUACGUGUCAUUCGCACCCACUGAGAAGAAAGUGUUCAAUGAUAUUGUUGAAAAUGAACAUAAAGGGGCGCAAGACAUGGUUGCAAUGUCCGAUGAGUUGAAUUCCGAGCUAAAAGAUCUAGCAAAAAAGUAUGAGGACAAGCUUCUGGAAGAAUUGCUGAAACCCCACCUGAGGACCAGCUCCUGAAUUGCUGAAACCCCCGAGAACAAAGAGAAAGGCGGAGAGGUCAGAUGUAGUGUCAAGGAAAACGCCUACUAGCAGAGGCGGGAGAGGCCUGCCACUGUUGGCGCCCAAAUCCAAUACGACAGAGGAGCAAGCUGAGGGAAAGGUAGAGCUACUUCCUAAUGCAGCAGCAUCAAAGCAAGCACAAGUACAACUAGAAGAAGCAGCGACCAAAGUGUAUGUGAGGAAGUUUCCAGAAAAAACGGAUACCAUCCUACAAGCGGAGACCGCACCCAAAACACUUGGUGAUGGCCGCACGGAAGCUCUGCAUAAAGCAGCAGUAGAAAAAGGUGUUGACAACUUGAUGGAGAGCAAAGGCUUCAAGGAUGCACCCGAUGCUCUAAGCUUCUCACUGGGUUUAACAAAUGAUGAGGAUUCUCAAGAAAUGGACAAGGGUCAUCUUGCAACAGAAGAUGAACUGUACAAUGUCAUAUGCAGACACAACAGGCUUGAAGAGGGUGGUUGUGCAGGGAGCUGCAGCACGAGCUGCUCGAGGCCUCGAGCCAGAUGCGGUAGCUGCGGUGACACGGAGGCUAUGCCGGAGACGAGCCUGUCGCGGCAGCGGCGGCAUCACAGACGGCAGCUACAGCACCAGACGCAUGGAAGAUGCUCCGAGUCUAUCUUAUCCCCAGGGCGCUACAUUUGGAGGCCCUGAUGGACGGCAGCAAGUUGAUUCCAGGAAAUUAGUGGCCUUACAGCCGUUUGUAGAAGUUCGUGAUGCCCUGAGAUGUAUGUGAUGCUGCGUUGUGUGGGAUAUAUUUGUGUAUGCGAUGCUACUGAUAGUACAUCGAUGGGCAUUUUUUUAUUGAUGUAACAUGGACCCUCAUGAUAUAACAUGAAUUCAAGAGAAUUGAAUUUAUUUUCUUGUGACACAAA